GGCCCAGUGCUUAGGUGGCUGAGGCAGGAGAAGUAUUGCAAAUUCUAGGCCAGCCUGGGUUCCAUAGUGAAUUCAAGGCCAGCAUGAACUACACAGAGACAUCCUGUCUCAAAACCAAAAAAAAAAAAAAAAAAAAAAAAAAAAAAAAAAAAAAAAAAAAAAAAAAAAAAACAAAAGAAAAAAAGAAAGAAAAAGAAAAAGAAAAACAUGUCACAGGGUCUAAUAGCCUUCCAAUAGAUGAACUUCUCUGCUGAAGAGACCACUGUCCCCAUCGAAGAGCCCCCCGUCAUCCCCAC
rnacentral:lncRNA from 1 species